UCACACAAGAAACCCAAAUUAAUAGUACGCGGCGUAAAGAGUGGACCCAUGACUAUCAUAAUAACUAAGGCUGAAAAGUAACUGAGCUGUCAUAAGCUUAAGAUACAUUUAAAAUCACCCUAAAAAUGACCUUAGCUCUUACGAUCGAUUAAAUUCCACGAAAGCCAGGGUACAAACUGGGAUUAGAUACCCCACUAUGCUUGGCCCUAAAUCCUGAUGCUUAACCCACUAAAGCAUCCGCCUGAGGACUACGAGCACAAACGCUUAAAACUCUAAGGACUUGGCGGUGCCCCAAACCCACCUAGAGGAGCCUGUUCUAUAAUCGACAACCCACGCUACACCCGACCACUUCUUGCAAAAGCCAGCCUACAUACCGCCGUCGCCAGCUCACCUCUACUGAGAGCACAGCAGUGAACACAAUCGCCCUAACCCCGCUAGUACGACAGGUCAAGGUAUAGCCCAUGAAGUGGAAGAAAUGGGCUACAUUUUCUAAUUUAGAAAACCCUCAUACAACGAAAGGGAACGUGAAACAAUUCCCAGAAGGCGGAUUUAGCAGUAAAGCAGGACAACAAAGCCCCCUUAAAAUUGGCUCUGAGGCACGUACAUACCGCCCGUCACCCUCCUCACAAGCUUAAAACCACCCAUAAAUAAUGCAUCUAUCUGCCAAAGAUGAGGUAAGUCGUAACAAGGUAAGUGUACCGG
rnacentral:rRNA from 1 species